ensembl:snRNA U6 U6 spliceosomal RNA
AUGCUCACUUCAGCAGCACAUACACUAAAAAUGGAACCAUACUGAGAAGAUUAGCAUGGCCCCUGUGUAAGAAUGAUACACAAAUUCAUGAUGCGUUCCACAAUUUA